GGCCUAAGUCUUACAAAAUUGUAAGAUAUGGUAUAAAAACCUAACCAAUAAAGGUGGUCUUCUGAUCACAGCACUUAUUGGUUAGGUCUAUGCCCGAAAGGGUAUAGGAUAGUUUGAAAGAACUGUC
rnacentral:sRNA from 1 species